GGUUAACCGUAUUCUGAAACACGAAAAAAAUCAUUGGGUUAUCAAAUUAUCUAUCGAGCCAUGAAAAUAAUUCAACAAAAGACAUAAACAAAUCCACUAUCUGUUUUACGUCAAGCAAUACAUGGAGUAACUCCCGAUAUAGCAGUAAAAGCAAGACAUGUAGGUGGAUCGACUCAUCAAGUUCCCAUUGAAAUAGGAUCCACACAAGAAAAACACUUGCCAUUUGUUGGUUAUUAGCGGCAUCCAGAAAAUGUCCAGGUUGAAAUAUGGCUUUCAAAUUAAGUUUCGAUUAGUGGAUGCUGCCAAAGGGAGUGGCGAUGCCAUACGCAAAAAGGAAGAGACUCAUAAAAUGGUAGAGGCAAAUAGAGCUUUUGCACAUUUUCUUUAAUCCAUGAACAUGAUCUAUACAUCUCGAUCAGAAAAGAAUCAAGAGAAAAAGAAAUCGGAAUUGAUCGAUAGAUUUCUCAAAACAAACAAAAAAGAAACGAAAGAUGAAACAUAAGUCAUGGAUCAACUAAGCCUUCUCUUAGAGAAGGGGCCUAGCGUGCCAAUUAUUUUGCUACAACUACUAUGAUUUCCACUGCUCCUCCUUUUUUUGCUACCUUACUGAAGUCUUAUUGCUAUGCUUUUUGUAGCUAUGUUUUUUGUGCCCUAUUUUUAUUUUGCAUCUCUGGUCAAUUUAGACUUAUAGAAGAACCAAAGGUGGGGAACAAUUUCCUAAUCUAACUCUAAGAGUGGGUGGCACCGGCCCUGAUUGCUUUCAUUUCGUAGCUGGCGUAUUCGUCACUUUUUCAGCCAGUGUAGCUAACGAAGGCUCUGCAAGCUUGUUGUUUGAUGGAAUGACCUCAUUUGAUGAAGAUCAACAGGAGCUUCCGCUAGUUAGAAAAUCAAUCUCUUAAUAAAUGGUGCAGCAGUGACUGGACAUCUAGGGGUAAAGUACUGUUUCAGUGCAGGCCACGAGAGCGGUACCAAAUCGAGGCAAACUCUGAAUAAGCUUCAUUGUCGAGAGGGAGACAGCCCGGAUAAGCUUCAUCGUCGAGAGGGAAACAGCCCGGAUCACCAGCUAAGGCCCCUAAAUGAUCGCUCAGUGAUAAAGGAGGUAGGGGUGUAGAGACAGCCAAGAGGUUUGCUUAGAAGCAGCCACCAUUGAAAGAGUGCAUAAUAGCUCACUGAUCGAGUGCUCUUGUACCGAAGAUGAAUGGGGCUAAGCGAUCUACUGAAGCUAUGGGAUGUAAAAAUACAUCAGUAGGGGAGCAUUCCGCCGUAGAGGGAAACCUCCGUGCGAGCAGCGGUGGAUAAAGUGGAAGCGAGAAUGUCGGCUUGAGUUAUGCAAAUAUUGGUGAGAAUCCAAUGCCCCAAAAACCUAUGGGUUCCUCCGCAAGGUUCGUCCACAGAGGGUGAGUCAGGGCCUAAGAUCAGGCCAGAAGGCAUAGUCGAUGGACAAUAGGUGAAUAUUUUUGUAAUACACCUUGUUUGUCCAGAGGGACGGAACAGGCUAGGUUAGCCGAAAGAUGGUUAUCGAUUCAAGAACGUAAGGUACCUCUGCUUUUUCAGGGUAAGAAGGGGUAGAGAAAAUGCUUCAAGCCAAUGUUUGAGUACCAGGCGCUACGGCACUGAAGUAACCUAUGCCAUACUCCCAAGAAAAGCUUGAACGACCUUUAAACAUAAACAAAGGGUACCUAUACCUGAAACCGAAACAGGUGGUUAGGUAGAGAAUACCUAGGUGUGUGAGACAACUCUCUUUAAGGAACUCAGCAAAAUAGCCCCGUAACUUCGAGAGAAGGGGUGCCUCCUCACAAAGGGGUCGCAGUGACCAGGCCUGAGCGACUGCUUACUAAAAACAUAGGUCUCCGCAAAGUCGUAAGACCAUGUAUGGGGGCUGACGCCUGCCCAGUGCCGGAAGGUCAAGGAAGUUGGUGACCUGAUGAUAGGGGAGCCGACAACUGAAGCCUUGGUGAAUGGCGGCUGUAACUAUAAUGGUCCUAAGGUAGCAAAAUUCCUUGUCUGGUAAGUUUUGACCCACACGAAAGGAGUAACGAUCUGGGCAGUGUCUCGAAGAGAGGCUCGAUGAAAUAGACAUGUCUGUGAAAAUGCAGACUACCUGCACCUAGACAGAAAGACCCUAUGAAGCUUGACUGUUCCCUGAGAUUGGGUUUGGGCCUUUCCUGCGCAGCUUAAGUGAAAGGCGAAGAAGGCCUCCUUCCCGGGGGGCCCGAGCCAUCAGUGAGAUACCACUCUGGAAGAGCUAGAUUUCUAACCUUGUGUCAGGACCUACGGGCUAAGGGACAAUCUCAGGUAGACAGUUUCUAUAGGGCAUAGGCCUCCCAAAAGGUAACGGAGGCGUGCAAAGGUUUCCUCGGGCCGGAUGGAGAUUGACCCUCGAGUGCAAAGGCAGAAGGGAGCUUGAUUGUAAGACCCACCCAUCGAGCAGGGACGAAAGUCGGCUUUAGUGAUCCAAUGGUGCCGAGUGGAAGGGCCGUCGCUCAACGGAUAAAAGUUACUCUGGAUAACAGGCUGAUCUUUCCAAAGAGCUCACAUCGAUGGGAAGGUUUGGCUCCUUGAUGUCGGCUCUUCGCCACCUGGGGCUGUAGUAUGUUCCAAGGGUUGGGUUGUUCCCAUUAAAGCUGUACGUGAGCUGGGUUCAGAACAUUGUGAGGUAGUUUGGUCCAUAUCCAGUGUGGGCGUUAGAGCAUUGAGAGGACCUUUCCCUAGUACGAGAGGACCGGGAAGGACGCACCUCAGGUGUACCAGUUAUCAUGCCCACAAUAAAUGCUGGGUAGCUAAGUGUGGAGCGGAUAACUGCUGAAAGCAUCUAACUAGUAAGCCCACCCCAAGAUGAGUGAUCUCCUAUUCCAACUUUCCCAAAGCUUCCAGUAGCACAGCCAAGGCAGCGACGGUUCUCUGCCCUUUCGGGGAUGGAGCGACAGAAGUUUUAAGAAUUUAAGAGAAGGUCACAAUGAGACGAGCCGUUUAUCUUUACGAUAGGUGUCAAGUGGAAGUGCAGUGAUGUAUGCAGCUAGGGAAUCCUAACAGACUGGUAGACUUGAAC
rnacentral:rRNA from 1 species